UACAGAGGUCCCAAGCGUUGUUCGGAUUCAUUGGGCGUAAAGGGUGCGUAGGCGGCGCGGUAAGUCGGGUGUGAAAUCUCGGAGCUUAACUCCGAAACUGCAUUCGAUACUGCCGUGCUUGAGGACUGGAGAGGAGACUGGAAUUUACGGUGUAGCGGUGAAAUGCGUAGAGAUCGUAAGGAAGACCAGUGGCGAAGGCGGGUCUCUGGACAGUUCCUGACACUGAGGCACGAAGACCAGGGGAGCAAACGGG
rnacentral:rRNA from 1 species